ACAGUGGCAGGGAGGACGCUGACAGAGGCUCCAGGGAGUGGCCAUGGGCCUGGCUUCUAGAAAGACAGGUUGAAAACCCAGCUUCAAGGAUUUGACUUCUCAACCUGACACCUCUUUGCUGAAUGACCAGACAGAUCAGAUUGACAGAGUGGAGCUCCUCUCUGGGGCUCCUGAUUGGCUGCUCUGUCCUGGUCCCUCCACCCGACUCUUGGCUGGUUGAAGUGAUUGGCCUGCACCAACUGUGACUGUUGCUGUCUAUGGAUGUAGACCCUGACUUCACCAAGACAAGCCUUGAAGGAAAGACCUGCUAUUCCUUCUCAUUAUUCAACAUCCCUAUCUCUCCAUCUGACACCCCAGCCACCUCCAACUCUUUCUAGCUUGAAUUCCGCCCAGUGUCGAUGUCCACUCAGCCUGGAAGUCUGUGAUCUCAGCAGCCUGCUUUUAACUUCCGGUGACAGCUGUAACCUCAGUUCUUCCUGAAUUACUAAGACUCC